UCGAAUCCUGCAAAGUAGACGACCGUGAACUUGUGUUAUUACACGGCUGUCGGCAGGAGCGGGUUGGGAUAAUACCCUCUCGUUGCCUGACCGGCGCCUACCGCGUGCUCGACGUGCGGACAAUAACUCAACCCCGGCGCGAAAAGCGCCAAGGAAAACUAAAAUUGGAUAGCCCGCCUCCCCGUUUGUGGGGGGUGCUAUGGCUUCUGUUGUAACCAAAACGACUCUCGACAACGGAUAUCUCGGCUCUCGCAUCGAUGAAGAACGUAGCGAAAUGCGAUACUUGGUGUGAAUUGCAGAAUCCCGUGAACCAUCGAGUCUUUGAACGCAAGUUGCGCCCGAAGCCAUCAGGCCGAGGGCACGUCUGCCUGGGCGUCACGCAUCGCGUCGCCACCCCCGUUCAUUCGCGCGGGGUAGCGGAUAAUGGCCUCCCGUACCACCAGGUGCGGCUGGCCUAAAUGCGAGUCCUCGGCGAGUGACUUCACGACAAGUGGUGGUUGAAUGCCUCAACUCGAGUCCUGUCGUGUUGGCAAAACCCGCCGUUAACUCCCUUGACCCUGCAGCAUGCACCUCGGUGCAAGCCUCGACCGCGACCC
rnacentral:misc_RNA from 1 species